rnacentral:rRNA from 1 species
UACAGAGGUCCCAAGCGUUGUUCGGAUUCACUGGGCGUAAAGGGUGCGUAGGUGGUUGGGUAAGUCUGAUGUGAAAUCUCCGAGCUCAACUCGGAAAUGGCAUUGGAUACUAUUCGGCUAGAGGGUUGGAGGGGGGACUGGAAUUCUCGGUGUAGCAGUGAAAUGCGUAGAUAUCGAGAGGAACACCAGUGGCGAAGGCGAGUCCCUGGACAACUCCUGACACUGAGGCACGAAAGCUAGGGGAGCAAACAG